UGUGUCAAUAUUUUGCUCAUGUCCUCCAUGGGAGAACUCCUAAGAACAUGGAAGAAGCUACCAAAAGCUGAUAAUAUGCCAAACAUUUGCCUUGAGAGUGCUAUUCUCUCUCCCAGCGUGACUUACAUCCGCUGGAAAGUGCAUGAGGACUGGGUUACUCAGCUGAGUUACUAUGACUCCAUUAAAGC